rnacentral:rRNA from 1 species
GACGAACGCUGGCGGCGUGCUUAACACAUGCAAGUCGAGCGGAAAGGCCUUUCGGGGUACUCGAGCGGCGAACGGGUGAGUAACACGUGAGUAACCUGCCCUUCACUUUGGGAUAACCCUCGGAAACGGGGGCUAAUACCGGAUAUGACACAGGCUCGCAUGAGGUUCUGUGUGGAAAGUUUUUCGGUGGGGGAUGGGCUCGCGGCCUAUCAGCUUGUUGGUGGGGUGAUGGCCUACCAAGGCGACGACGGGUAGCCGGCCUGAGAGGGCGACCGGCCACACUGGGACUGAGACACGGCCCAGACUCCUACGGGAGGCAGCAGUGGGGAAUAUUGCACAAUGGGCGGAAGCCUGAUGCAGCGACGCCGCGUGAGGGAUGACGGCCUUCGGGUUGUAAACCUCUUUCAGCACCGACGAAGCGAGAGUGACGGUAGGUGCAGAAGAAGCGCCGGCCAACUACGUGCCAGCAGCCGCCGUAAAAC